GGCUACAAAGAAAAUUGAAUGUUUUUAGAACCAAAGUUAAAACCAUAUCCUUGUACUAUUUCCAGAUUUUCACAUUUCCAGACUACCAACUUAAGAUACAUCCAACUAAGCUAAGGAAUUAUUGGUAUAUUUCCAGAAUUCCACAUUUCCAGACUACUGAGAUAAAUGUGAUGAAUUUGAUGUGCAGCACAUUCCAUUGUGAUGACAUGUUCUGUGCUCUUCUACCCCAAGUUAAAGCCCAAUUUGUUUAUAUUGAGACACAGAACUCCUAACAAUAAUUGCAGAUGUGCACAUCUUAACCCUUUGCUUCCUGGAAGUGAUUAACAUGUAGCUUCUCCUUUUUGUAUCCAUAAGGUAAUGAGAAUACCUUCAAGUUUUUAUCUUGAUCUAACCUCAAAUUCUUGUAAUUAAUUUACAAUGAAAUGUAUAGCAGCUGAAGGGGAGAAGUAGCAAUCAGUCCUUGGAAGUUAAUGGGUUAUAAGCUUCAGAGAAAAGAAAGCAUUAUGGUUAUAGAUGUUAUGAAUACUUAAGAUUAAAAUUGUUAGUAGGUGACAGAUUCACAUGUUCAUGUAAAUAGGGUAUUGAAUAUUUGUUAACUUGUGAAAGAAACUUGAUUAAAAAUAGGGUCAAGCAA